GCAUAGUAUUAACAAUCCGUCAGCUACAUUGUACCAGAUUUUUAAAGGUGUGUAUCCGGAAAACGGGAAGAGGCAAUGAGAAUUCGAGAGGUUGGAGAACGGAAGGAUACUGACAAGGUAUAUUGGAUUCCGGGAGGCCUUUUUCUGGGCUUACAGAUCAUAGUGAGAGGUCGAGUUCCAUGGGGGACAAAACAAUUCGCUAUCAAUAUUUCUGAUAAAAAGGAGGAUGGAGAUAUUCUAUUACAUCUGAAUCCCCGGCCAUCAGAGGGCAUUUGCGUACGAAACGCUCUGAUUGGUGGAAAUUGGGGAGAUGAAGAAAAAUGGCAGCCGUACUUUCCAUUUCCUAAUGGGAAAUAUUUCACUCUAAUGAUCGAAGUAACAAACGAUGCCUUUAGAACAAUGGUCAAUGGAAAGCCUUUUGUAAAUUUCUCUCACAGAACAGACUUCAGGAAGGGCAAGUUUCUCGUUCUGCGAGAAGGAGCUGUAUACUAUGAUGUCAUAUAUCAGAACAGACAUACCAUGCCGCUAACUUCAAAACUUCCUAGCGGAUCAAAAAUAGGAAAGACAAUCAGAAUCCGUGGCAUGUGCUCUGGACAAGACGGAUUUUCGAUAAAUUUGAUGGACGACAGAGAGAACAUUUACUUUCAUUUUAAUCCUCGCCCACGAGAGAAGUCUGUCAUAAGUAAUUCUUGUUUUGGAAGCUGGGG
rnacentral:misc_RNA from 1 species